CAGCGGUCGCCGGCGCCCCGGACUCUGUGCCUCAGGAGCGAGUGGCCAGAGGGCCGGCAUCCUGUCCGCUGGGCUCGAGGGCGGGCUGCCGGAGCUGCCUCCUUCUGGUGCCUGGGCCGCCCUGAGGAGCGGUGCCAGGCCACGGCGGGCUGACCGGCCCCAGGGAGCCGAGACCGGAGGCGCACGUCUGGCGGUCUCCUGUACCGGGAGGAGGCCGAGGGGACCAUGUCCGGGAGGAACCUCCACCUUUCCACCACCGAGCGCGUCAUCAAAGCUGUCCCCUUUCCUCCAACCCAGCGGCUUACUUUGAAGGAAGUAUUCGAGAAUGGAAAACCUAAAAUAGAUGUUUUGAAAAACCAUUUGGUGAAGGAAGGGCGACUGGAAGAGGAAGUAGCCUUAAAGAUAAUCAAUGAUGGGGCUGCCAUCCUGAGACAAGAGAAGACUAUGAUAGAAGUAGAUGCUCCAAUCACUGUAUGUGGUGACAUUCAUGGACAAUUCUUUGACUUGAUGAAGUUGUUUGAAGUUGGAGGUUCACCUAGUAACACACGCUACCUCUUUCUGGGAGACUAUGUGGACAGAGGCUAUUUCAGUAUAGAGUGUGUGCUGUUUUUAUGGAGUUUAAAGAUUAAUCAUCCCAAAACAUUGUUUCUGCUUCGAGGAAAUCAUGAAUGCAGGCAUCUUACAGAAUAUUUCACCUUCAAACAGGAAUGUCGAAUCAAAUAUUCUGAACAGGUGUAUGAUGCAUGUAUGGAUACAUUUGAUUGUCUUCCUCUUGCUGCCCUCUUAAACCAGCAGUUUCUGUGUGUACACGGAGGGAUGUCACCUGAAAUUACUUGUUUAGAUGAUAUUCGGAAAUUAGACAGGUUUAAAGAACCUCCAGCCUUUGGGCCAGUGUGUGACCUGCUUUGGUCUGACCCCUCAGAGGAUUAUGGCAGUGAAAAGACCUUGGAACACUAUACCCACAACACAGUCCGAGGGUGCUCUUAUUUUUACAGUUACCCAGCAGUUUGUGAAUUUUUACAGAACAAUAAUUUGUUAUCAAUAAUCAGAGCCCAUGAAGCCCAAGAUGCUGGGUAUCGAAUGUACAGGAAGAGCCAAACGACGGGCUUUCCAUCACUCAUAACAAUUUUCUCUGCCCCCAAUUACCUAGAUGUCUAUAACAAUAAAGCUGCUGUAUUAAAAUAUGAAAACAAUGUCAUGAAUAUUAGGCAGUUUAACUGUUCUCCACACCCAUACUGGCUUCCAAACUUUAUGGAUGUUUUCACAUGGUCUUUGCCUUUUGUUGGGGAAAAAGUCACAGAGAUGCUGGUUAAUAUUCUCAACAUAUGCUCCGAUGAUGAAUUGAUUUCUGAUGAUGAGAUUGAAGAUCACUACAUUUCAAGCUAUCAGAAAGGAGGCACUACAGUUCGAAAGGAGAUCAUCAAGAAUAAAAUCAGAGCCAUUGGAAAGAUGGCACGGGUCUUUUCAAUUCUUCGGGAAGAGAGUGAGAGUGUGCUGACUCUCAAGGGCCUGACUCCUACUGGUACACUCCCUUUGGGUGUCCUUUCAGGAGGAAAGCAGACCAUUGAGACAGCCACAGUAGAAGCGGUAGAGGCCCGGGAAGCCAUCAGAGGGUUUUCGCUUCAGCACAGGAUCCGCAGUUUUGAAGAAGCCCGAGGUCUGGACCGAAUUAAUGAGCGGAUGCCACCCCGCAAAGAUAGCCAGUACUUUGAUGGGCCAGUGAAAUUGGUAACCCCUGUCCAAGCAAACGCUGUGCACAGGAACGACAGGGGGAGAAGAGCCAGUAAUGACUCGGAGCCCAGCAGUGGUACAGGAGGAUCCAAAACUUAAGAACACAUUUUACUUAUUUAUUAUUGGGAAACAAAACAAAAACAACUUAAACCUGGAGGUGCAUUUAUCCUGUAAGAAAGGUAUCCUUUGAGCUGUUGAAGGAUCCGCUGGAGUACAGAGUUAAGUUGUCAUGAUUCAAGAAAAUUGGAGAGGGCUCACAAGGGCGCAACAACGGCUCUUGAAGGAAGUUAGGUUUGGAGAUCCCAUUGAAUUCUAAAGAUCAUCUUCUGAGUAAUUUCAGAACACAGAGUUUGAGGCAGCUGCUUUCUAUAAGAAAAAUAUUACAAACCAUGCCUGUGUGAGACACAGCCGAGCUCACUGCUCAUGGUCAUUACUCAAGAUAUCUCUCCAGCUUCUCAGAGUGAGUAAGGCUGAAAUCUGUUCCCUCUACCUUCCCUUGUUUUAUGUAAAUAUUAAAACUGAUCUCCAGAAUUUUUGACUAUACCAUGUCUACAAAUAUAAUACUCAAGCUCUUGAGAAUUAAGUUUGUCCUGCCCAAUCUAGGUGACCAGUCAGUUAAAAUGGCUUAGGAAGAGCUUGUACCAGAUUGACUAGUUCAUGGGUUUUCUUUGUAUCAAUUGUCAAGUUCUUUCCUUCAGCUUUUGUACUGAAAAUUAUUUCUGCACCCAUAAACACUUAUUGAGAUAUCA